UUAACUCAAAUUUGUAUAGAGUUGAAUCGUUUGCCUACGUUUGACGCUAGGAGCGCGUUUCAACUGCAUACAAAUUUGAGUUA
rfam:Bombyx mori DNA, contig: Bm_scaf87_contig33885, strain: p50T/Dazao, build 2, whole genome shotgun sequence.